GAUGAACGCUGGCGGUAUGCUUAACACAUGCAAGUCGAACGGUCUCUUCGGAGAUAGUGGCGGACGGGUGAGUAACGCGUGAGAAUCUGCAUUCAGGUCGGGGACAACCACUGGAAACGGUGGCUAAUACCGGAUGUGCCGAGAGGUGAAAGGCUAGCUGCCUGGAAAAGAGCUCGCGUCUGAUUAGCUAGUAGGUGUGGUAAGAGCGCACCUAGGCGACGAUCAGUAGCUGGUCUGAGAGGAUGAUCAGCCACACUGGGACUGAGACACGGCCCAGACUCCUACGGGAGGCAGCAGUGGGGAAUUUUCCGCAAUGGGCGAAAGCCUGACGGAGCAAUACCGCGUGAGGGAGGAAGGCUCUUGGGUUGUAAACCUCUUUUCCCAAGGAAUAAGAAAGUGAAGGUACUUGAGGAAUAAGCAUCGGCUAACUCCGUGCCAGCAGCCGCGGUAAUACGGAGGAUGCAAGCGUUAUCCGGAAUGAUUGGGCGUAAAGGGUCCGCAGGUGGCCCUGUAAGUCUGCUGUUAAAGAGUGAGGCUUAACCUCAUAAAAGCAGUGGAAACUACAGAGCUAGAGUGCGUUCGGGGUAGCAGGAAUUCCUGGUGUAGCGGUGAAAUGCGUAGAGAUCAGGAAGAACACCGGUGGCGAAAGCGUGCUACUAGGCCGUAACUGACACUGAGGGACGAAAGCUAGGGGAGCGAAUGGGAUUAGAUACCCCAGUAGUCCUAGCCGUAAACGAUGGAUACUAGGCGUGGCUUGUAUCGACCCGAGCCGUGCCGGAGCUAACGCGUUAAGUAUCCCGCCUGGGGAGUACGCACGCAAGUGUGAA
rnacentral:rRNA from 1 species